GAGGAGUGGACGAGUGCCUAAAGGUGAUAAUACAUGGGGCAACUUCUUGAGCAAUGUUGCUGGGCAACCACAUAACCAGUUCUAUUUAUUCUGAUUGGAUAAUCAUAACAACUUGCCUACUGAUGAUUAAAGUUCUCC